GACAUAGGUGGCAAGCGUUAUUCGGAAUUACUAGGCGUAAAGCGAGUGUAGGCGGGCGCUUAAGUUCGACGUUAAAUCUCCAGGCUUAACUUGGAGCUGUCGUCGAAUACUGGGCGUCUCGAGAGAGGUAGGGGGCAGUGGAAUUCCCGGUGUAGCGGUGAAAUGCGUAGAUAUCGGGAAGAACAUCGGUGGCGAAAGCGCUCUACUGGACCGCAACUGACACUCAGGGACGAAAGCUAGGGGAGCGAAUGGG
rnacentral:rRNA from 1 species